rnacentral:misc_RNA from 1 species
UUAACUUAUUACAAUAUUACUCAGACAACACAAAAAUCAAGAGUUUAGGGUCCUCUGGCAGGCGCGGACCAGCCAAAGCCAGUGGUCAAGAGACGGGCCUGCCAAAGCAACAAAGGUAAUGUAAACAAAGGGUGGGAGAUCUACCCUGAAGGGCAAUUUCUCUGUAAUGAUCCUUCCGCAGCGGAAAUAUAGCGGCAAUUUCUAGCAGCCUCCCGAUCAUAUCUUAAACCCUACACUGGGGGCCACCUCCAUUUGACCUGUGAGCCUAUUGCUAGGCUGCUGGUAUUGCAAAUGUAAAUCCCAGCACAGUGGAGAUGUUGCCUGCUGAUACAGACUUUCUAUUCUGGCGAACCUGGAAGAGAUGUUCACCUACGGAAA